AAAAUGGAUGGAGGAGGCGCCAAAGGAAGAAGAGCCAGUUGCUCAGCUAAAGGAAUAGAUGAAGGACAAGUCUGACAAGGACUUGGAAGAUAGUCAUCAGAAGAAAGGGAUGGAGGAGAAGGAAGAAGAGCCAGUUUCUCAGCUGAUGGAAGAGAGAACGAUAAGAUUGGUCCCCUGGUCAUUUGGGUUUUUGGCUAGUUUUUAUCUAUCUGUCUAUGUAUUGGCUAAAAAAUGGGCUGCUUUGACUUGAUGUUUCACAUUAAGCAUAAUAACAUGGGAUUUGAAAUCUGUUUUCUUGAAGGCCAAAUGGAAAUCAAGUGCCAAGAAGACCUCAGCCGAACGUGACACUGAAGCAGUGGUUUUUUCUUUGGAUAAAUACCAAAACAGGGCAGCAGUAAUUCAACUCUUACAGGAGGAACUUCUCAAUAGUCUACUUCACCCCUCAGGAAUGGCAGAGGACGUCUGAUUCUUUAUCCUCACCAAUUACAGGAG